rnacentral:rRNA from 1 species
UGUAGGUCGCCGCCUGCGCACGCGGCCGCGGGAAAGUAGCUUGCUACUUUUGCCGGCGAGCGGCGGACGGGUGAGUUUGCCUGGGAAAUUGCCCAAUCGAGGGGGAUAACAGUUGGGAACGACUGCUAAUACCGCAUACGCCCUACGGGGGAAAGCAGGGGACCUUCGGGCCUUGCGCGAUUGGAUAUGCCCAGGUGGGAUUACCUUGUUGGUGAGGUAAUGGCUCACCAAGGCGACGAUCCCUAGCUGGUCUGAAAGGAUGAUCAUCCACCCUGGAACUGAAACACGGUCCGGACUCCUACCGGAGGCCUUGUUGGGGA